rnacentral:rRNA from 1 species
AUUGAACGCUGGCGGCAGGCCUAACACAUGCAAGUCGAGCGGAUGACGGGAGCUUGCUCCUGGAUACAGCGGCGGACGGGUGAGUAAUGCCUAGGAAUCUGCCUGGUAGUGGGGGACAACGUUUCGAAAGGAACGCUAAUACCGCAUACGUCCUACGGGAGAAAGCAGGGGACCUUCGGGCCUUGCGCUAUCAGAUGAGCCUAGGUCGGAUUAGCUAGUUGGUGAGGUAAUGGCUCACCAAGGCGACGAUCCGUAACUGGUCUGAGAGGAUGAUCAGUCACACUGGAACUGAGACACGGUCCAGACUCCUACGGGAGGCAGCAGUGGGGAAUAUUGGACAAUGGGCGAAAGCCUGAUCCAGCCAUGCCGCGUGUGUGAAGAAGGUCUUCGGAUUGUAAAGCACUUUAAGUUGGGAGGAAGGGCAGUAAGCUAAUACCUUGCUGUUUUGACGUUACCGACAGAAUAAGCACCGGCUAACUCUGUGCCAGCCGCCGCCGUAAUAC